UCCCUUUUAAUCUUUCAUUCUAGGGAGAAGAGGAAAAAUGCAUCAGUGGAUGUGUCCUGUCUAGUGGAAACCUUCCAAGCACUCAUCCUGGCAAAUUAAUGAAUGGACUACUGCUUUCCUUGUGGAUGGGGAACACCUACUAUGUCCAUGAUUUUUUUCUAUCCCUCUAAUUCUUGGCUGCUACCCAGAAGGUGCACAUAGGUUCCUGUAAAAGAUAUGUUCCACCCCCAAGCUCUCUGAAGUGGCCAUAUAUUGGCUUGGUGAAGGGAAGCCAGAGCAUCACUGUGAAAUUCAGAAAUCACUGUGAAAGGUAAGAUCUUCAGAGGAGAGCCCAGCCUGCAUAUGCUCUACAGAGAAGUCAUCCAAGUAGAAUGAGCAGUAGGAGUAAAUGCUAUAGUCUUGGUCCUGUGGAAAACUCUGUGAAGGGCUUUGUUGUUCCCUAUUGUUAUGUUCCCAUGAAUGUGAAGAAUUUCUUUGCCUCAGGCCUCUCUUUUGUGAAGCCUCAGGAAAAGCUGUUUCAAACGUGAAAGCACUUUUUAGCUUCCCUUGUUCUGAGGAAGUUUGUGAACCCACCGUGCCUUUAGGCAAAUGAGGGGCACUGGAUAUUACAUUUGACAAAGUCCUGGAAUUCUCUAGGUGAUAAAAGAUCCAGCCAGAUAUUGAUGAGGCAUGGCUACAUGAAAGAAGAUGAGUAGACUUUGGGCCAUGAGGGAGGGUUCUUGCUUUAAGUGUGGGUAUUUGUGUGGUUAUUGUAAGUGAUGACAGGGUAAACCUCAGGUUUCAAUCUAGUGUGAACCUCAGUGGAGACCUCAUUUGUGGGGCUUACCCAGUAGAGGGAUUACAGCGAGUUGUUUGGUAUUUUAGGUAUCUAAGUCACAAGAGGUAUCCUUAAGAACUUACAGCUAGGUCCGGUGUGGAUUUCUCCAGAGCACUAGGGAUCUCAGCCAUGAGUUCACACAUUUUUUUCUGUAGAGCCUUGUCAGCCAAAGUUGAGAGCCUGAUACACACAUGUACCUCACAUUUUAUGCCCAUUGGCCCGACUGCAUGUGACCUCUUGGCUAGUAUUUGGGAAGCUCUCCCUGUGUGUGUUCUCCAGAGGUUCCAACUAAGAGUCCUCACUACUUUUUUGCCCCGUCUCAAUCCAAACCCUGCAGGACAACUUACUUCAUUCUUGACAUAUGGCUAUACCUUUACCCAAACAGUUUUGAAAUUCCCAUGGCCAGGAACCACUAGAGCACCUUAGGAACUUCUGUUGCUCAUCAUGAUGGAAUAAAAGAAGAACUUUAUUGUGAGGAACUCAUUAAAAUUCUAGGUAACACAGACACCAGUGGUUUUGAGCUCUCUGAUAAUGGGGCCUGUGGCAGAUGAGUGAAGGUGUGUGCAAAGAAAUCUGUGCAACGGCCAUGUGGAUC
rnacentral:lncRNA from 1 species